ACACGGUCGUUUUGUUCACACACACACACACGGUCGUUUUGUUCACACACACACACACACGGUCGUUUUGUUCACACACACAUACACGGUUUCGUUUUGUUCACACACACGCACACACACAUACACACACGGUCGUUUUUUCAAACACACACACACAGUCGUUUUGUUCACACACACACACACACACACACGGUCGUUUUGUUCACACACACGGUCGUUUUGUUCACACACACAUACACACACGGUCGUUUUGUUCACACACACACACACACACACACACACACACACACACACACGGUCGUUUUGUUCACACACACACGGUCGUUUUGUUCACACACACACGGUCGUUUUGUUCACACACACACACAUACACACGGUAGGUUUGUUCUCUCACACACACACGGUCGUUUUGUUCACACACACACACACACACACACGGUCGUUUUGUUCACACACACACACACGGUCGUUUUGUUCACACACACACACGGUCGUUUUGUUCACACACACACACACACACACACACACACGGUCGUUUUGUUCACACACACGGUCGUUUUGUUCACACACACACACACACACGGUCGUUUUGUUCACACACACACACACACGGUCGUUUUGUUCACACACACACACACACGGUCGUUUUGUUCACACACACACACACACACACACACGGUCGUUUUGUUCACACACACACACGGUCGUUUUGUUCACACACACACGGUCGUUUUGUUCACACACACACGGUCGUUUUGUUCACACACACACACGGUCGUUUUGUUCACACACACACACACACACGGUCGUUUUGUUCACACACACACGGUCAUUUUGUUCACACACACACACACACACACACGGUCGUUUUGUUCACACACACACACGGUCGUUUUGUUCACACACACACACACGGUCGUUUUGUUCACACACACACACGGUUGUUUUGUUCACACACACACACACGGUCGUUUUGUUCACACACACACACGGCCGUUUUGUUCACACACACACACACACACGGUCGUUUUGUUCACACACACACACACAACACACGGUAGGUUUGUUCUCACACACACACACAUACACACACACACACACACGGUCGUUUUGUUCACACACACACACACGGUCGUUUUGUUCACACACACGGUCGUUUUGUUCACACACACACGCACACACGGUCGUUUUGUUCACACACACACACACGGUCGUUUUGUUCACACACACACACACGGUCGUUUUGUUCACACACACACACACGGUCGUUUUGUUCACACACACACACGGUCGUUUUGUUCACACACACACGGUCGUUUUGUUCACACACACACACGGUCGUUUUGUUCACACACACACACGGUCGUUUUGUUCACACACACACACGGUCGUUUUGUUCACACACACACGGUCGUUUUGUUCACACACACACGGUCGUUUUGUUCUCACACACACACACACACACACGGUCGUUUUGUUCACACACACACACGGUAGUUUUGUUCACACACACAAACACGGUCGUUUUGUUCACACACACACACGGUCGUUUUGUUCACACACACACACACACACACAGUCGUUUUGUUCACACACACGCACACACACAUACACACACGGUCGUUUUUUCAAACACACACACACAGUCGUUUUGUUCCACACACACACACACACACACGGUCGUUUUGUUCACACACACGGUCGUUUUGUUCACACACACACACACACGGUCGUUUUGUUCACACACACACACACACACACACACACACACACACACACGGUCGUUUUGUUCACACACACACGGUCGUUUUGUUCACACACACACACACACACGGUCGUUUUGUUCACACACACACACACACACCGUCG
rnacentral:lncRNA from 1 species